UAUUUUCGAAACACCUCAGAUGACUAUUUCAGUUUUCCACACUUGCUGUGCACACGGGAUGUUGGGGAGGUUCUUCUUUCUUCUACAGGACUACUUUUAUACAGGGACCUACGGUAAACUUCAAAACUGAAAGUCACGUUUGUGUUCCAGGUCUAAAGACUUGGAUUUCUGAGUCUUUAUUGCAUUUUAGAUUUUGGCUUUAAAAGUUCAAAUUACACACCUCACUCCGACCCAAAAUAACCAAACAGGAACUCCCUAGCUUAUUUUACUCUUUAGUAACUGGCGAGUCUGCGGGUUUGGGAGGGAGGAGGCAGUGGUGCCCAGGCGGGGAACAGCUGGGAGCUAGCAAGCCCCUGAGAGCGGCUUUGGCAGAACUGGAGCUGGAAGAGAACCUAUAACUGCUUCGGUUGGCUCCCUCGUGCACUCUAGGUCACAAGACUGAGGCAACAAACACUCAGCGGAAAAUAAAGUAGGGAAGGAAAGUUAUAUAAGAAACUUGCAGGCCAGGCGCAGUGGCUCACUCCUGUAAUUCCAGCACUUUGGGAGGUCGAGGCGGGUGGAUCGCCUGAGGUCAGGAGUUCGAGACCAUCCUGGCCAACAUGACAAAACUCAGUCUCUACUAAAAAUACAAAAUUAACCUGGCGUGGUGGCGCGGGCCUGUAAUCCCAGCUACUUGGGAGGCUGAGGCAGGAGAAUCACUUGAACCCGGGAGGAGGAGGUUGCAGUGAGCCGAGUUCCCUCCACUGCAUUCCAGCCCUGGCAACGCAGCAAGGCUCCGUCUCAAAAAAAAAAAAAAAAAAAAAAAAAAAAAAAAGGCAGCAACAGCAGCUUGCAAUGGCCGAGUGCCUUACAUCUGUAAUCCCAGCACUUUGCUGAGGAGGGCGGAUCACUUGAAGUCAGGCGUUCGAGACCAGCCUAGACAACAUUGUGAACCCCUGCUCCCCGUCUCUACUAAAAAUAAAUACAAAAAUUAGCCAGGCAUGGUGGUUAUAUCUGUAAUCCCAGCCACUCAGGAGGCUGAGGAGUAAGAAUCACUUGAACCCAGGAGGUGGAGGUAGCAGUGAACCGACAUGGCACUGCACUCCAGCCUGGGUGAUAGUGAGAUUCUAAAUCAAUCAAUCAAUCAAUGAAAGUCUUCUUGCCCCCAAGAUCAUCAAUAAAUGAUCAUUUAUCUAACACUUUUAUCGUCGUGCUUU
rnacentral:lncRNA from 1 species